rnacentral:rRNA from 1 species
AUGAACAUUGCGCUUAUGCUGCGUUGGGUUUGGUGGAUCUUGCGGGGAGAUGGGGGGUUGUGGCUGCAGCUGGUUGAGUCCAAGUACUUGCAGGGCCAACCCCUCAUGGCUUUCUCACACUCGGCUGGGUCCUAAUUCUGGAAAUCUACUCUGGCCAUCAAGGAAGAGAUUAGGAUGGGUUUGCGUUUCUCAGUUGGCAAUGGGUCUGGGACCCAAUUUUGGUUGGACCCACGGCUUGAGGGCGAGCCUCUCUGCUUGCGGUUCCCGAGGCUCUUUGCGAUUUGUGAUGACCCGGCCAUUCUUGUAUCUGCGGCUGCUUUGGAGGAGGGAUGGAACAUUGCGUUCCGCCGCUCAUUCGGACUAGAUGAGGUACGGGAAUGGACAUACCUGAGAGAAGUAGUCCCUCUUCCUCUGUCCCAGGACCCUGAUACUGUUUCAUGGAGCCUUUCUCCUUCAGGUGAAUUCUCCGUUAGUUCAUCCUAUCAGGCAUUAUGUCGUAUGCCAGUUCUACAGUGGCUAUCCCCGUUGUGGAAGGCACAGUUGCCCUUGAAGAUUAAGAUAUUUGUAUGGCAUCUCCUCCGUGACUAUCUGCCUUCAGGGACCGAGGUGUUGAAACGCCAUGGUUCGGGCAAUGGCCUUUGCCCUUUGUGCCAUGUCCAGGAAAUGGGAACGCACAUUUUGUUCUUUUGCAUAGCAGCACAGGCACUUUGGUGCUUUGUUUGUGAGGCUCUAGGGCUAGAGUGGGAGGCUCAUGACCUUGCAGAGUUUCUACAGGUUAGGGCCACUCAGGUUGGCCGUUAG